rnacentral:rRNA from 1 species
UCAGAAGUGCGAAUGCUGACAUAAGUAACGAUAAAGCGGGUGAAAAGCCCGCUCGCCGGAAGACCAAGGGUUCCUGUCCAACGUUAAUCGGGGCAGGGUGAGUCGACCCCUAAGGCGAGGCCGAAAGGCGUAGUCGAUGGGAAACAGGUUAAUAUUCCUGUACUUGGUGUUACUGCGAAGGGGGGACGGAGAAGGCUAUGUCAGCCGGGCGACGGUUGUCCCGGUUUAAGCAUGUAGGCGGAGGUUCCAGGUAAAUCCGGUACCUUAUUAACGCUGAGGUGUGAUGACGAGGCACUACGGUGCUGAAGUGAUAAAUGCCCUGCUUCCAGGAAAAGCCUCUAAGCAUCAGGUAACACGAAAUCGUACCCCAAACCGACACAGGUGGUCAGGUAGAGAAUACCAAGGCGCUUGAGAGAACUCGGGUGAAGGAACUAGGCAAAAUGGUGCCGUAACUUCGGGAGAAGG